rnacentral:rRNA from 1 species
CCUACGGGUGGCAGCAGUAGGGAAUUUUCGGCAAUGGGGGGAACCCUGACCGAGCAACGCCGCGUGAACGAAGAAGUUAUUCGUAAUGUAAAGUUCUUUUAACAGGGAAGAAAGAGAAAUCUGACGGUACCUGAAGAAUAAGCUCCGGCUAACUACGUGCCAGCAGCCGCGUUAAUACGUAGGGAGCGAUCGUUAUCCGGAAUUAUUGGGCGAAAAGGGUGCGUAGAUGGAAUAGUAAGUCUUUUGUAAAAAUGCUGGGCUCAACCCAGUAGGGCAAAAAGUACUGCAAAGCUAGAGUAUGACAGAGGAAAGCGGAACUACAUGUGUAGCGGUAAAAUGCGUAAAUAUAUGUAAGAACACCAGUGGCGAAGGCGGCUUGCUGGGUCGAUACUGACAUUGAGGCACGAAAGCGUGGGGAGCGAACAGGAUUAGAUACCCUUGUAGUC